UAGACAAGAACCAUCGGAUCAGCUGGUCGUGUUCCGCCAUCUUGUUGCCCACAGAAGGAAGGAGAUCACACAGCGCCAUCAUGUUCCCCGUCCGCGCCGCCAUUUCCCGCCUCCCGAGGACCGCUACCCAGUUCUCCGUGCCCGUCAGGAACAACAACGUCAUCUCCGGCCCGGCGAGGAAUAAGAUCUCCUCCAUGGAGAAGGCUCUGCACGGUGUCUUCAUCAUGUCUGGGUGCUGCUUCGUGCCCGCCUGGGUAUUGGUGCACAUCAGGGAUUACCGCGGACGGGACUAGACGCACACACUCACACACGCACAUGGUGGAGACGAGGGAGCGUACACGGAGCUGGUGUGUCCGUGUGUGCGUGUGUGUUUAUGGCCCACAAGACUAUGAGGUGUUUCCUUUUGUAUAUAAGUGAAAUAAAUUAGUGAGGAAGA